rnacentral:rRNA from 1 species
GACGAACGCUGGCGGCGUGCUUAACACAUGCAAGUCGAGCGGUAAGGCCCUUUUGGGGGUACGCGAGCGGCGAACGGGUGAGUAACACGUGGGUGACCUGCCCUCAGCUCUGGGAUAAGCCUGGGAAACUGGGUCUAAUACUGGAUAUGACCUUUCCUCGCAUGGGGUUGGGUGGAAAGUUUUUCGGCUGGGGAUGGGCCCGCGGCCUAUCAGCUUGUUGGUGGGGUGAUGGCCUACCAAGGCGACGACGGGUAGCCGGCCUGAGAGGGCGACCGGCCACACUGGGACUGAGACACGGCCCAGACUCCUACGGGAGGCAGCAGUGGGGAAUAUUGCGCAAUGGGCGGAAGCCUGACGCAGCGACGCCGCGU